rnacentral:rRNA from 1 species
UACGAAGGGUGCAAACGUUGCUCGGAAUCAUUGGGCGUAAAGCGCACGUAGGCGGCUUCGCAAGUCGGAUGUGAAAUACCUCGGCUCAACCAAGGACGUGCAUCCGAAACUGUGAGGCUUGAGUACUGAAGAGGAUCGCGGAAUUCCCGGUGUAGAGGUGAAAUUCGUAGAUAUCGGGAGGAACACCAGUGGCGAAGGCGGCGAUCUGGGCAGAUACUGACGCUGAGGUGCGAAAGCGUGGGGAGCAAACGGG